GGGCUUGCUUUUCUUUUGCCUUUGCGCUUCUUUCUUUCCUCCCUCUUAUUAUAUGGGACUGUAGCUCAGUCGGUUAGAGCACUUCUCUGAUAAGGAAGGGG
rnacentral:tRNA from 1 species